rnacentral:rRNA from 1 species
UGGGGAAUUUUGGACAAUGGACGCAAGUCUGAUCCAGCCAUGCCGCGUGCGGGAAGAAGGCCUUCGGGUUGUAAACCGCUUUUGUCAGGGAAGAAAAGGUUCUGGUUAAUACCUGGGACUCAUGACGGUACCUGAAGAAUAAGCACCGGCUAACUACGUGCCAGCAGCCGCGGUAAUACGUAGGGGGCAAGCGUUGUCCGGAAUUAUUGGGCGUAAAGGGUGCGUAGGCGGCCUUUCAAGUUGGAUGUGAAAUCCCCGUGCUUAACAUGGGAAUUGCAUUCAAAACUGGAGGGCUUGAGGGUGGAAGAGGUAAGUGGAAUUCCCAGUGUAGCGGUGAAAUGCGUAGAUAUUGGGAGGAACACCAGUGGCGAAGGCGACUUACUGGGCCACAACUGACGCUGAGGCACGAAAGCGUGGGGAGCAAACA